AUCUUCCGUCACGGAUCCUGUAAGUCCUGCUGCUCCACCUGCACCGGCUCCUGCCUCUGCCUCUGUAGCCACAUCAGGACAUUCUCAGCAGCAAGACGAUUGGUUGUGGUACUAGGAGGGGCAAACUCUAUUAUUUGGACCUGGCAUCUGACAGUGAAGCCAGCCUCAGUCAAGCUUACAAAAUUGGGGGGACGAGUGUUGAGAAGAAAACUUC